UAACAAGGAUUCCCCUAGUAACUGCGAGUGAAGCGGGAAGAGCUCAAAUUUAAAAUCUGGCAGGCUCUGCUUGUCCGAGUUGUAAUCUGGAGAAGCGUUUUCCGCGCCGGACCGUGUACAAGUCUCUUGGAAUGGAGCGUCAUAGAGGGUGAGAAUCCCGUCCAUGACACGGACCGCCGGUGCUUUGUGAUACGCUCUCGAAGAGUCGAGUUGUUUGGGAAUGCAGCUCAAAAUGGGUGGUAAAUUCCAUCUAAAGCUAAAUAUUGGCGAGAGACCGAUAGCGAACAAGUACCGUGAGGGAAAGAUGAAAAGCACUUUGGAAAGAGAGUUAAACAGUACGUGAAAUUGUUGAAAGGGAAACGCUUGAAGUCAGUCGCGUCUUGCGGAGCUCAGCCUUGCUUUUGCUUGGUUUACUCUCCGUUUGACGGGUCAGCAUCAAUUUUGACCGGUGGAGAAGGACUUGUGGAAUGUGGCGUCGUUUCGGCGACGUGUUAUAGCCCCAGGUCGUAUGCAUCGGUUGGGAUUGAGGACCGCAGCACGCCCUUGUGGCCGGGGGUUCGCCCUACGUUUUGUGCUUAGGAUGCUGGCAAAAUGGCUUUAAGCGACCCGUCUUGAAACACGGACCAAGGAGUCUAACAUGUCUGCGAGUGUUCGGGUGGAAAACCCUUGCGCGUAAUGAAAGUGAAAGUUGGGAACCUCCGCAAGGGGGUGCACCGACGCCCGGCCCUGAAGUUUACGGACGGUGCUGCGGUAGAGCAUAUAUGUUGGGACCCGAAAGAUGGUGAACUAUGCCUGAAUAGGGUGAAGCCAGAGGAAACUCUGGUGGAGGCUCGUAGCGAUUCUGACGUGCAAAUCGAUCGUCAAAUUUGGG
rnacentral:rRNA from 1 species